CAGCCGCCGCGGGAAUACAGAGGGUGCAAGCGUUAAUCGGAAUUACUGGGCGUAAAGCGCGCGUAGGUGGUUUGUUAAGUUGGAUGUGAAAUCCCCGGGCUCAACCUGGGAACUGCAUCCAAAACUGGCAAGCUAGAGUAUGGUAGAGGGUGGUGGAAUUUCCUGUGUAGCGGUGAAAUGCGUAGAUAUAGGAAGGAACACCAGUGGCGAAGGCGACCACCUGGACUGAUACUGACACUGAGGUGCGAAAGCGUGGGGAGCAAACAGGAUUAGAGACCCGGGUAGUCCCUGUCUCUUAUAA
rnacentral:rRNA from 1 species